rnacentral:rRNA from 1 species
UACAGAGGUCUCAAGCGUUGUUCGGAUUCAUUGGGCGUAAAGGGUGCGUAGGCGGCGCGGUAAGUCGGGUGUGAAAUCUCGGAGCUUAACUCCGAAACUGCAUUCAAUACUGCCGUGCUUGAGGACUGGAGAGGAGACUGGAAUUUACGGUGUAGCGGUGAAAUGCGUAGAUAUCGUAAGGAAGACCAGUGGCGAAGGCGGGUCUCUGGACAGUUCCUGACGCUGAGGCACGAAGGUCAGGGGAGCAAACGGG